UCGCUACUACCGAUUGAAUGGCUCAGUGAGGCUUUCGGACUGGCUCAGGGAGGUCGGCAACGACCACCCAGAGCCGGAAAGUUGUUCAAACUUGGUCAUUUAGAGGAAGUAAAAGUCGUAACAAGGUUUCCGUAGGUGAACCUGCGGAAGGAUCAUUACAGAGAACAUGCCCCUCGGGGUAGAUCUCCCACCCUUUGUUUACCUUACCAUUGUUGCUUUGGCAGGCCCGCCCCUGGGCCGCCGGCUCCGGCUGGCCAGCGCCUGCCAGAGGACCUAAAACUCUUGUUCUCCAUGCAGUCUGAGUACUAUACAAUAGUUAAAACUUUCAACAACGGAUCUCUUGGUUCUGGCAUCGAUGAAGAACGCAGCGAAAUGCGAUACGUAAUGUGAAUUGCAGAAUUUAGUGAAUCAUCGAAUCUUUGAACGCACAUUGCGCCCCCUGGUAUUCCGGGGGGCAUGCCUGUUCGAGCGUCAUUACAACCCUCAAGCUCUGCUUGGUAUUGGGCCUCGCCGGUUCCGGCGUGCCUUAAAGAUAGUGGCGGUGCCGCCUGGCUCCAAGCGCAGUAAUUCUUCUCGCUCUGGGACCCCGGGUGUGCACCCGCCAGCAACCAAACUUAACAAAGGUUGACCUCGGCUCAGGUAGGGAUACCCGCUGAACUUAAGCAUAUCAAUAAGCGGAGGAAAAGAAACCAACAGGGAUUGCCUCAGUAACGGCGAGUGAAGCGGCAACAGCUCAAAUUUGAAAUCUGGCCUCACGGCCCGAGUUGUAAUUUGUAGAGGAUGCUUCGGGUGUGGCUCCGGUCUAAGUUCCUUGGAACAGGACGUCAUAGAGGGUGAGAAUCCCGUAUGCGACUGGUUGCCUAUGCUCAUGUGAAGCUCCUUCGACGAGUCGAGUUGUUUGGGAAUGCAGCUCAAAAUGGGUGGUAAAUUUCAUCUAAAGCUAAAUAUUGGCCAGAGACCGAUAGCGCACAAGUAGAGUGAUCGAAAGAUGAAAAGCACUUUGGAAAGAGAGUUAAACAGUACGUGAAAUUGUUGAAAGGGAAGCGCUUGCAACCAGACUUGCGUGCGGCUGAUCAUCUGGUGUUCUCACCGGUGCACUCAGCCGUACUCAGGCCAGCAUCGGUUUCGGCGGCCGGAUAAAGGCCCUGGGAAUGUGGCUCCUCUCGGGGAGUGUUAUAGCCCAGGGUGCAAUGCGGCCAGCCGGGACCGAGGACCGCGCUUCGGCUAGGAUGCUGGCGUAAUGGUUGUAAGCGACCCGUCUUGAAACACGGACCAAGGAGUYUAACAUCUAUGCGAGUGUUUGGGUGUCAAACCCAUACGCGUAAUGAAAGUGAACGGAGGUGAGAACCCUUAAGGGUGCAUCAUCGACCGAUCCUGAAGUCUUCGGAUGGAUUUGAGUAAGAGCAUAGCUGUUGGGACCCGAAAGAUGGUGAACUAUGCCUGAAUAGGGUGAAGCCAGAGGAAACUCUGGUGGAGGCUCGCAGCGGUUCUGACGUGCAAAUCGAUCGUCAAAUUUGGGUAUAGGGGCGAAAGACUAAUCGAA
rnacentral:rRNA from 1 species